rnacentral:rRNA from 1 species
GAGUAACUAUUGGAAACGAUAGCUAAUACCGCAUAAGAGUAGAUGUUGCAUGACAUUUGCUUAAAAGGUGCAAUUGCAUCACUACCAGAUGGACCUGCGUUGUAUUAGCUAGUUGGUGGGGUAACGGCUCACCAAGGCGACGAUACAUAGCCGACCUGAGAGGGUGAUCGGCCACACUGGGACUGAGACACGGCCCAG